UGGGGAAUAUUGCACAAUGGGCGAAAGCCUGAUGCAGCAACGCCGCGUGAGCGAUGAAGGCCUUUGGGUCGUAAAGCUCUGUCCUAGGGGAAGAUAAUGACGGUACCCUGGGAGGAAGCCCCGGCUAACUACGUGCCAGCAGCCGCGGUAAUACGUAGGGGGCAAGCGUUAUCCGGAAUUAUUGGGCGUAAAGAGUGCGUAGGUGGUUCUUUAAGCGUGAGGUGAAAGGCAAUGGCUUAACCAUUGUAAGCCUUGCGAACUGGGGGACUUGAGUGCAGGAGAGGUAAGUGGAAUUCCUAGUGUAGCGGUGAAAUGCGUAGAUAUUAGGAGGAACACCAGUGGCGAAGGCGACUUACUGGACUGUAACUGACACUGAGGCACGAAAGCGUGGGGAGCAAACA
rnacentral:rRNA from 1 species